rnacentral:rRNA from 1 species
UGGGGAAUUUUGGACAAUGGGGGAAACCCUGAUCCAGCCAUCCCGCGUGUGCGAUGAAGGCCUUCGGGUUGUAAAGCACUUUUGGCAGGAAAGAAACGUCGCGGGUUAAUACCCCGCGAAACUGACGGUACCUGCAGAAUAAGCACCGGCUAACUACGUGCCAGCAGCCGCGGUAAUACGUAGGGUGCAAGCGUUAAUCGGAAUUACUGGGCGUAAAGCGUGCGCAGGCGGUUCGGAAAGAAAGAUGUGAAAUCCCAGAGCUUAACUUUGGAACUGCAUUUUUAACUACCGGGCUAGAGUGUGUCAGAGGGAGGUGGAAUUCCGCGUGUAGCAGUGAAAUGCGUAGAUAUGCGGAGGAACACCGAUGGCGAAGGCAGCCUCCUGGGAUAACACUGACGCUCAUGCACGAAAGCGUGGGGAGCAAAACAGGAUUAGAUACCCUGGUAGUCCACGCCCUAAACGAUGUCAACUAGCUGUUGGGGCCUUCGGGCCUUGGUAGCGCAGCUAACGCGUGAAGUUGACCGCCUGGGGAGUACGGUCGCAAGAUUAAAAACUC